rnacentral:rRNA from 1 species
UACGUAGGGUGCGAGCGUUGUCCGGAAUUAUUGGGCGUAAAGGGCUCGUAGGCGGUUUGUCGCGUCGGGAGUGAAAUCCACUGGCUUAACUGGUGGCUUGCUUUCGAUACGGGCAGACUGGAGGCAUGCAGGGUAGAACGGAAUUCCUGGUGUAGCGGUGAAAUGCGCAGAUAUCAGGAGGAACACCGGUGGCGAAGGCGGGUCUCUGGGCCGAUACUGACGCUGAGGAGCGAAAGCGUGGGGAGCGAACAGG